UACAGAGGGUGCAAGCGUUAAUCGGAAUUACUGGGCGUAAAGCGUGCGUAGACGGUUAUGUAAGUCAGAUGUGAAAGCCCAGGGCUCAACCUUGGAAUUGCAUUUGAGACUGCAUAGCUAGGGUGCGGAAGAGGGAAGCGGAAUUUCCGGUGUAGCGGUGAAAUGCGUAGAUAUCGGAAGGAACACCAGUGGCGAAAGCGGCUUCCUGGUCCAGCACCGACGUCAGGCACGAAAGCCGUGGGGAGCAAACAGG
rnacentral:rRNA from 1 species